AUAGGCCACAGGUGCAGCCGUAAAAAGAAAGAAAAAAGACAUGCAGGAUGCCCAGCUCAAUCUCAGCCUAGCCCCCAGCGUGGCCCAGAAGGACCUCCAACAGAUUAAGGUUUAAACAGAAGAGGACUGGACAAUCUCAACAGAUACAGAAAAGAAAUUCUCAUGCGAAGUGAAGGCAGUCCGACAAUGGGACACCAAACAUCAAAAGCUCUCACUGACAUGUGGACUCUCAAAAAAGGACACCACGAACUUCUCCGCAGAACAGGAGUUCCACAAACGCCGUGAACUUGUCAGCGCCUGGCAAGCACUUGGAGGUGGAGGUUUACGAGCUCUGCAGGUUCAAGGCUUGGGCCCCCAGAGAGAGGCAUCCAGAAGAAGUUCCACGCUCCUCGCUCCUGAGCAGGCUGUGGACAGGACACAGAAAGGGAGCAGGAAUGAAGAGAACGCGGCCGUCCACUUCUGGAACCGUCCGGAGGCUGGGGUUCACCUCGGAGGGGCAGCCCUUGGCAUCUCCUUGCCAAGAGGAGGAUGGGUGGUCUGGCUUCCUGAGGGGUUGGCUCUCAUAGGAGGCCUCUCUGCUCGGUCUGUCUAGAUGUCUCCUGCUGCUCUUGAGUGGAGAGAACGGAUCUGGGAACUGCCUGCUUUUGAGGAAUAGGCUGAGCUGGGACCAGCCGCUGGCCACCUCCCCCAAGGGGGUCUGUGCCCACUGCAACCAAGACCUUCUGAUGCAUGAAAACCAUGGCAGCUAGUGUGUGUGUGUGCGUGUGCACACGUGCGCACACGUACCAGUGUAUUUUCAUCUCUAAAUUCUGCCUUCCGCAGGUCGCAGACGGCUGCUGGCAGAUCCUGGGGGCUCCAGGCUUUCUUGGUCCAGAAUCUCUUUGUUUGCACAUUCCAGGCAGCGGUUCUGAGCGUGCGUUAAUUAGCCUGGACUGGUUAACGAGUCUGCCUUGGGAUCACUCACGGAGGCAAAGGGCUGGGAAACACGCUCAUCGGCUUAGCCCACAUCACAUGGCGUGCUUUAUCCCAGGAAUGGAGCCAGGAAUGGAGUUGGGCUCCUGGGACCCGCAGAGGCCCCCAGCUUGAGAGAUGGAGGCAGCUGGGGAGAAGGUAUAUACCGACAGGUGUCUUACCAAGGUGAGGAAGGUCUAAGGCUGCAGGCCAGAUGAUCACAAGAGUUGGGGUACGGUCACCUCAGGAGAGUGGACCUUGGUGAGUGUGUGAUGUGCGGGGGGGCCGGGGUGGUACCCUGACCCCCAGCUGUUGGUGCAGCAUCCAUUCAAUACCAGCAUAAAGAUGGCCUUGGCCCAGUGACCAUGUGGGGUUGGGAUGAGGGAGAGCUGGAGAUGGAAGCCAGGAGAUGGAAGAGGGGGCUCACCCCGGGUGCCCCAAGUGGAGUUGAGACUCCCUUAUCCUGGGCCGCUCUGAUCCAUGGUUCUGCCCAUUGCCGUGGCUUUUAGCAGCCCUGUCCCUCCGGCUGAGAGGGGCACAUCAACACUUGUGUCUAGGAACAAAUUCCAGUGCAGGGGAGCCCCUGAUGGGAGCAACAGCCCCCUGCCCUUCUCCUCUCUUCUUAGAAUCCUGGAGGGAAACAUGGAAGAAAUAAACCAUUAGAGAUUCACUUCUUUGAUGUUUUCCCACAAUUCUAAAUCAGAUGCUGAGCUUGGACCAUCUGGGGCUUGGCUGAGUUUUCAUCUACCUCCCCACCCUCUCCUUUAUAGUGUUUGUCGCCUCCUUCUAUGGUCUGUCUUUGCAAA
rnacentral:lncRNA from 1 species